AAUGAAUGUGAACUGUGCUAGAUUCAACUCGCCUUAGACAAAAGUGGCAUUGAUACACAGUGUGAUGGUGAAUGUGCCAUCUGUUGGAAAGAGCACCAGCUGCUGGAAUCCAGAAAUUGUAUGAGAAUCUGUUUUCAUUUAAAAGAAAAUCUGAGCUAACAGAGAUUAUGUUAGCACUAAACUGGGCUUUGGAAGUAUGUGCUAUCGUGGCCAUCCUGUCUGACUCCUUAUCAGGGCUGCAGGCAAUUU